rnacentral:rRNA from 1 species
CGCUCCUUGCAAAAUUAUUGAUGAAUAAGGAGUUCUGCCUGCCCAGUGACUUAGUUAAACGGCCGCGGUAUUUUGACCGUGCAAAGGUAGCAUAAUCAUUUGCCUCUUAAAUAGAGGGUGGUAUGAAUGGCAAGACGGAGGUUAAGCUGUCUCUUUCUUAAUACUAGAAUUUAAUAUUUUUGUGAAGAAGCAGAAAUAAAUUCGUAGGACGAGAAGACCCUAUCGAGCUUUAACAAAUUUGUUAAUAAUUAGCUAAUACAAGGAAUUUAAUUAAGUUAUAUUAUAAUACAAUAAAUUUAGUUAUUUGUAUGUUAUUAUCUAAUAGAAUAGUUUUGAUGGGGCAAUCUCGGAGUAAAAAAAACCUCCGUUAAAAGUAUUAAAAAUUAUUAUUU